rnacentral:rRNA from 1 species
AUGGCCGGCCGCGCCUCGGUCGAUCCCCCCGGCGACGCCUCCCCGUGGCCGGCGUCGAUUCUCCUCGCCCAGGAGGCGUACGUCGCCGUCAGCAGGAACCACACCACGGCCACAGCCAAAUCGAGGGUCGACCAUACCGUGGAGGUCACCUUCUGGGUCGCCGACCCGCCGGCGGUGUCCUUCUACACGUUCCACUGCUCCAAGCCCCCCACCUCCGACUCCGACUGCGAGUCCGAGGACGCCGCCGACUUGCAAGUUCAGCCACACGUGGUCGGCGCGGAGGGCCGGUUCGUCCUCGUCCGCACUUACUUUGCUUCCGGCGACGGCGACUUUGAAUACUUCAUCUACAAGGGCGACCCCAGGUCCCCGUCCCUCGAGAGCGUGCCGCUUCCCGAUGAUGAUAGGCUGAGCGGAUGCGGAGGUACCGAGUUCGGAAUCGUGCCCCGCAGCGACGGCGAUCAUUAUCUCCUGAUAGCGCUCUGUUACGCGGCGACCUUGAAGGAUUACCGGCUUCAUAUCUACUCGUCCGAGGACAGAGCAUGGAGGACCAAGGAGCUGCUCAACCCAUGUCCUGGGGUCCGUACGAUUACACCGGACAAGGUGAUGCUGCUCCGAGAUGGCGUGCUGGUGUGGGUCAAUUUGCUGUGCGGCAUGCUGGUGUGUGACAUACUUCAAGAACGAGAACCCCUUCGCGCUCGCUUCAUCCCAUUGCCUGAGCCAUUGCCUAGAAACAGAGAACAAAUUUUGAAGCAGUUAAUCCCGGGAGCUGCCAUCAGGCGUUACCGGGAUGUCGCCUGUGUUGAUGGUCUGAUCAAGUUUAUUGAGAUGGAACACCGCGUCACUGUAACAGAGAUUGUAGAUGUUCCUCCUGAAAAGCCAUCUGACCCCAGGAACAAGACUGUGCUCUAUGAUUCUGACUUGAUCAUGCUCUACAAGCGCAAACAUGUGGACAACAAGCCCAAGACGCUGCGCACAAUGAAUGGUUGGAGUGCCAUGACAUGGACUAGGGAGAUUGAGUCUGACUGUUGGCUCAAGGGAGUCAUUGUUGAUGUUGAUGACAUUUUGGUCGAUGACUCGGCGUUUUCAGCCUUACUGUCUGGCCAAAGGAACGAAUCCGCUGGGAGCUUGACAUUCAAGAACAUGUACUCGGCUUGCCCCACCCUGAGCACAGAUGGUAAUGACAUACUGUACCUCAAGUCAUCAAGGAAAAUGAGUGAUUCAUAUCGAUGGGUGGUUACGGUUGACCUUAAGGAGAAAACACUGAUGAAAGUGGAAGCACCUGGGGCGCACCCUUUUGGAAAAUAUUCUCCUUCGUGCCAAAUAUUCCUUCCCUGUGCAUUGGUGAACCAUCUAAAAAUGACUCCAGGCAUUAAAGUCUCAGCAAUUCAGACAGCACAGACAAGCAGCUCUUCGAAUGAGCCAAAUAAUACAGCUGUCUGUGUCAGUGAGCCUGAUUCCUAUGAAUCUGAAAACAAACGUCCAAGGCUAUUGGCUGAGAAAGCCAACCAUGCACAAAAUUUAGCUCAGAGUACUGUAAGGAAUGUUCAUAGCUCACAAGCCUGUCCUGAUCAAAACAAUAUGCCUCCACAACGAUGCUUCUACAGGUGGGAGGGGCCUGGCUACGGUGGGUACUCAUCAUGCCCCCCUCAAAACAAUCCGCCGCUGCCACAAUGUUUCAACAAGUUCACUGGACCCUGCAACUCUAUGUAUGCACCGUCGACCCCUGCCCCUAACAUACAUAGCUAUGGCAACUAUCAGUCGCCGUGGCAGCAACCACUACUACCGGAGCACCAGAUGGCACCUAGCAGGGCAUUUGGACCUCAUGUGGCACCCCAUCCAUACUUCAACAACUGGCGUGGAGCCAGACACCAUGGGAAUUCACAGCAACACCCUGUCGGUAACUCAUAUUACUAUGGUGCGCACUCAGGCAGUGGCAACCAAGGAUUUGAUUACCGUCCGAUUUACUACGAUCACAGAUACUAA